ACAAGCGGGACAAAGCUACCGUGGGUGAAGCAGGGAAGCGGAAAAAUCAGGCAGUUCAUCCUUAAUAUGAAGAUCACGAUCCUAUUUGAAUUUAGGUGGACAAAGUGGUCAAAAUAGUCAACUAAACCUUCUCUCGAGAAAGUUACAGCCAAUGAGUGCACUUUAUUUUGUAUGAGGUUCCCUCUUCCUCUUUUAACCAUUUUUACUUGUAGCUUUUGCUUUGGUCAUUAUUACAUGUUUCCAGAUGUCCACCACCACCACUAUGAGACCCCCGUACAAAAUAUAACAGAAUCCUUAGGACCAUUCUUUCUCACAACACAACACAAGUAGAACAAACUCAGAAGAUCCAUGGAGAUCUGGAGGCUUUCUUUGAUGCUACAACAUCAACACAAGUUGCUUUUCCAUCCAAUGUGGGUAAGAACAUCUCCAUUUCCUUUGCUUUUCUUCUCCUCCCCAGUUUCUAGCAUUUUGUCAGGAAAGAAGGGGGAUCUCUGGUUCAUGGCAGGAAUGGAGAGGGCAGAAGAAACUGCAAUAAUAAGGGGCAUAAGAAAGUGGAAGUGGAAGUAGAUUCAGAGGUAGUGUUCAAUGCUUUAAACGGAAAAGGCAGCAAUUUGGCGGCUAAUGAAGGAAUUGGAGGAUCAGGAUCAGUCAUACAUAUUUAGAAGGAAAUUCAUGUGCGGAUUGGCUAGCUAAUGAAGGCUUUUUUUUUUUGCAUCAGCAGGAUGAAGCAGGGGUAUUUCUACCCUGUUUGUGUAGGGUGCAAGUCCUUUUCUGUUGUUUAAGACUCCUCCCACGAUUUUAUUUUCUUAAAAGGAAACACAAACCACGUCCUAAUUGUAAAGUCUUUGUUUGAGGUGUUUUACCGUCAAUGGGGACCUCCUUGACACUGCUGACAUGAUGCUGACCAGCCAUGUUAACAUUGUGAAAGUUUUGGGCCAACACAGCAAAUGGAGGUCUAGGUUGCUGAUUUCCACGUUGUGGGUGUGAUCUGUCUCCAAAGUUGCAACUUCCUGCAAGACUAGGGAUGUAGGACUUCCUGCAUUUGAACAAACAUGAGGUUAACUAUGAUAAUUACUUUCGCACUCACUAUUGUCUGCUGAUACCAAAACUCCACUGUACCUUAUCUUCUUAAUUGGGGGAUCAUUUUCUGGUCUUCCAUCUGUGUUGAACCCGUCAUGUAAUAUGAUUCUUUUGUUAUUUAAGUUGAUAUGCGAGUUUUUGUUCUC